rnacentral:rRNA from 1 species
GAGAACUCGGGUGAAGGAACUAGGCAAAAUGGUACCGUAACUUCGGGAGAAGGUACGCUCUCGACGGUGAAGUCCCUUGCGGAUGGAGCUAUUGAGAGUCGCAGAUACCAGGUGGCUGCAACUGUUUAUUAAAAACACAGCACUGUGCAAAAUCGUAAGAUGACGUAUACGGUGUGACGCCUGCCCGGUGCCGGAAGGUUAAUUGAUGGGGUUAGACUUCGGUCGAAGCUCUUGAUCGAAGCCCCGGUAAACGGCGGCCGUAACUAUAACGGUCCUAAGGUAGCGAAAUUCCUUGUCGGGUAAGUUCCGACCUGCACGAAUGGCGUAAUGAUGGCCACGCUGUCUCCACCCGAGACUCAGUGAAAUUGAAAUCGCUGUGAAGAUGCAGUGUACCCGCGGCUAGACGGAAAGACCCCGUGAACCUUUACUACAGCUUGGCACUGAACAUUGACCCUACAUGUGUAGGAUAGGUGGGAGGCUUUGAAGCACGUACGCCAGUAUGUGUGGAGCCGUCCUUGAAAUACCACCCUUGUAGUGUUGAUGUUCUAACGUCGACCCCUUACUACAGCUUGGCACUGAACAUUGACCCUACAUGUGUAGGAUAGGUGGGAGGCUUUGAAGCAGGUACGCCAGUAUCUGUGGAGCCGUCCUUGAAAUACCACCCUUGUAGUGUUGAUGUUCUAACGUCGACCCCUAAUCGGGGUUGCGGACAGUGCCUGGUGGGUAGUUUGACUGGGGCGGUCUCCUCCCAAAGAGUAACGGAGGAGCACGAAGGUGGGCUAAUCACGGUUGGACAUCGUGAGGUUAGUGCAAUGGCAUAAGCCCGCUUGACUGCGAGAAUGACAAUUCGAGCAGGUGCGAAAGCAGGUCAUAGUGAUCCGGUGGUUCUGAAUGGAAGGGCCAUCGCUCAACGGAUAAAAGGUACUCCGGGGAUAACAGGCUGAUACCGCCCAAGAGUUCAUAUCGACGGCGGUGUUUGGCACCUCGAUGUCGGCUCAUCACAUCCUGGGGCUGAAGUCGGUCCCAAGGGUAUGGCUGUUCGCCAUUUAAAGUGGUACGCGAGCUGGGUUUAGAACGUCGUGAGACAGUUCGGUCCCUAUCUGCCGUGGGCGUUGGAAGAUUGAAGGGGGCUGCUCCUAGUACGAGAGGACCGGAGUGGACGAACCUCUGGUGUUCGGGUUGUGUCGCCAGACGCAUUGCCCGGUAGCUAAGUUCGGAAUCGAUAACCGCUGAAAGCAUCUAAGCGGGAAGCGAGCCCUGAGAUGAGUCUUCCCUGAUACUUUAAGUAUCCUAAAGGGUUGUCGGAGACUACGACGUUGAUAGGUCAGGUGUGUAAGUGCUGUGAGGCAUUGAGCUAACUGAUACUAAUUGCCCGUGAGGCUUAACCAUACAACACCCAAGGGGUUU